rnacentral:rRNA from 1 species
UGGGGAAUAUUGCACAAUGGGGAAACCCUGAUGCAGCAACGCCGCGUGAAGGAAGACGGUUUUCGGAUUGUAAACUUCUGUUCUUAGUGAAGAAUAAUGACGGUAGCUAAGGAGCAAGCCACGGCUAACUACGUGCCAGCAGCCGCGGUAAUACGUAGGUGGCAAGCGUUGUCCGGAAUUACUGGGUGUAAAGGGAGCGCAGGCGGAAGACCAAGUCAGCUGUGAAAACUACGGGCUUAACCUGUAGACUGCAGUUGAAACUGGUUUUCUUGAGUGAAGUAGGGGUUGGCGGAAUUCCGAGUGUAGCGGUGAAAUGCGUAGAUAUUCGGAGGAACACCGGUGGCGAAGGCGGCCAACUGGGCUUUAACUGACGCUGAGGCUCGAAAGUGUGGGGAGCAAACAGGAUUAGAUACC